CUCGCCGCUCCAGAAGAAGUCUC
rnacentral:miRNA from 1 species